rnacentral:lncRNA from 1 species
CAAUGCCCUCGGUAAAGACGUGAUGUUGACUGCUGUAUACAAACGUGUAAGAUUUACGAUUAAAACAGGUUGGUAAUAUGUUUAAGUGUCCGUUUUGUGUGAAUAUUUUAAGAGCUUUACACAUGAUACACACUCAUCUGCAAAGUUACAAACCUCGCACAGUUUAUCACGAACCCUUGUACAUCGCUCCUGAGGUUGGGUUUGACUAUUCUGAGGCUAUAUGACUUGCAUAAGGAGAUUGUGAUGUGGGUUCUUGCUUGAAGACUCAGG